AUUGAACGCUGGCGGCAUGCCUUACACAUGCAAGUCGAACGGCAGCACGGGAGCUUGCUCCUGGUGGCGAGUGGCGAACGGGUGAGUAAUACAUCGGAACGUACCCUGAAGUGGGGGAUAACGUAGCGAAAGUUACGCUAAUACCGCAUAUUCUGUGAGCAGGAAAGAGGGGGAUCGCAAGACCUCUUGCUUUAGGAGCGGCCGAUGUCGGAUUAGCUAGUUGGUGAGGUAAAGGCUCACCAAGGCGACGAUCCGUAGCGGGUCUGAGAGGAUGAUCCGCCACACUGGGACUGAGACACGGCCCAGACUCCUACGGGAGGCAGCAGUGGGGAAUUUUGGACAAUGGGCGCAAGCCUGAUCCAGCCAUGCCGCGUGAGUGAAGAAGGCCUUCGGGUUGUU
rnacentral:rRNA from 1 species